UGAGUGGUUUAUUUGUGUCUAAGGUUCUUUUUUUAUUAAAAAAAACAAUGAUGGUUGUAGGCUUCGCCUCUCAA
rnacentral:tRNA from 5 species